ensembl:lncRNA
CUCAGGUGUCGCCGGCCACCCGCCGGGAUACGCUCUCAAGGCCUGGUGUCCCAGGAAAAUCAGGACACUGCAAAGCUAUUGUGAAGUCUGUGCCAAUGGACUCCACAUCAGCACUUGCUUCACAGGAAGCAUGAUCAUCCAUAGGGUUUUGAAGGCAGAUGAAGGAAUUUACAGUUGCAGCAUUUCAGGAGCUGAAUCACCAGAGAGCUGGCUGACUGUCACAGGAAGACACCCCUGCUCACUGCCGUAACACUUCAGUCUUCAGUUUGCAGCAAAACAAUGGAAGUCAAAGCUCUUGGCAUCAGACUCCUGAUGACCAUUAUGAUUCUGCUGGGUGUUCAAGGUCAGAGAGUUGAAGCAACAUUUAAUCCAGACUGUCUCAAAGAGCAGAGCCUUUUCUCUUCUGAGGACACACCUUGGAUCAUUGCCAUUGCUUUAAUGAGCGCUGUGGUGCUGACAUUUGGAGUGUACCUUGGCAACGAUUCGUGGGACAGAGAUGAUGACACGUUAUAUUCUAGAGCCAUUUACUACACCUUACACCCGGGUGAGACUGAACUCAAAGGUUUCAAAAAAAAGAGUGGAAUGAAGACAAAAUAACAUCUGAGUGAAAGUGAAGACAAUGAAGUAAUCCACAUUUAUCACAUAUUAUUGCAAUUGAACAAGCUGUACAUCAUCUGCUGGGUUUGGUGUGAAUGUCAACAAACUGUUAUGUGUGUCUUCAGCUAGAAACAGCAGUCAGACUCACAUGGUUAUAAGAACAGAUAAAGUUCCCAUAGUAACAAAUGUGUCUGUCUCUUAUGUAGAAGUUAAAAUUAAACCACUUGUUUCUUGUGUUCUUUUUGCUUGUGUGUGAAUGUUGUUUGAAAGAAAAGAGCAACUGCAGCUCAUUUCUUCUAGACAGCAGGUUGUCACCGUGGUCUACCGCUAAUGUAAAUGUGUUACAUUGCUUUGUUUUCCAAACCAGAUGAACCAAAUUUGUGGUAAGCAGUGAAAUACACCUGCAACGUUUACUGGGCAUGUCUCUAUGUGAAGUUUGGUCUAGUGCACAGACUAAAUAUCUGGUGGCUUAUUUUAUGUUGCAGCAGCUGUUCAGUAAAGUAACGAAAAUAAGCUGGGGGUGUUUUUUUUUGGUGUUGCUGUUGCUGUUGCUGUUGUUGUUGUUUCUUUGUUUUUUGUCAGACUUUGUAAAAGUAGAAGUGAGAAGAGGAUAUGGUUUAGAUGCUGAGGUGGAGCUCAGCUUGUUUCUGCUUGACCUUAACUGUUUGUAGUAUAUAUGAUAGGCCUCAAAAGGUCACUUUCUGAGCUACUACUACUAAGAAGGAUAAAAAUUAGCCUUUAUUUAAUCUUUCUUUCUUCUUUAAAAAAAAUCCACAAAGCAGGGAAGUAAAUAGAAUUUUGUGACUUUAAGUCUUAAAAGAUACAAAGCUUCAUCACGUUUCAUAGUGAACUGCAAUAUGGAUUGUAACAACGUAAAAAAAAGAAGUAUGGUGGGAUAAUUGGUUUUAUUGCUCUAUUUAAGUCAUAGCAGAAAAUUUAAAUAUGCAAAGUAUUACGAUUACUUUUUUAAAUCAAUUAUCUCUUGGAAUUUAGACAUUACAGAAAUGUGUGUUGUUCAUGUUACUAAAAACAUCCCUUCUAAUUCCACCAUGUGUGUGCCAGUAUGCUACAAGUUACGAUACUCUAUAUGCUGAAGCCCUCAGUGCCAGCCUGAGGCUGUACCUGAAUCAGAUGAGUUAAAGACUCAACUUUCUCUGCCAUUACGAGCUGCUGGCACUGACACUGAACUAAGUAAAACCUCCAUUGAAGAAAUAUUGAAAUCAACUCAAAGUCAAACUGUGUGUAACUUUAUUUCUGCCAGUGUUGUAAUGCUGGUUGAUUUACUGCAGGGGGAAGACUGAACACAUCCAAUAUUAUUACAUAAUAUAAAAACAAUAUGUUUAAUAUAUUUUGAUCAGAAAAACACAUUUAAAUCUGCCUGUGUCCUUUAUACAUGAUAAAUAAUCUAUGCAGACACAGUGAGUGAGACCACGCCUCAGAGCACAGCUGUCAC